rnacentral:rRNA from 1 species
GACGAACGCUGGCGGCGUGCCUAACACAUGCAAGUCGAACGGGGUUAUUUCUUCGGAGAUAACUUAGUGGCGAACGGGUGAGUAACGCGUGAGAAACCUGCCUUUCAGUGGGGGACAACAGUUGGAAACGACUGCUAAUACCGCAUAAUGUUAUUUGAGGGCAUCCUCGGAUAACCAAAGAUUUAUUGCUGAAAGAUGGUCUCGCGUCUGAUUAGCUAGAUGGCGGGGUAACGGCCCACCAUGGCGACGAUCAGUAGCCGGUCUGAGAGGAUGAACGGCCACAUUGGGACUGAGAUACGGCCCAGACUCCUACGGGAGGCAGCAGUGGGGAAUAUUGGGCAAUGGGCGAAAGCCUGACCCAGCAACGCCGCGUGAAGGAAGAAGGCCUUCGGGUUGUAAACUUCUUUUAGCAGGGACGAAAACUGACGGUACCUGCAGAAAAAGCAACGGCUAACUACGUGCCAGCAGCAGCCGCGGUAA